rnacentral:rRNA from 1 species
AGGUAGUAACAACCAUUUGAGUCUGGGAUUUCUGAAUGGGGAAACCCACUUACAUAAGUAAGUAUCAUUAACUGAAUACAUAGGUUAAUGAGGCGAACCGGGGGAACUGAAACAUCUAAGUACCCCGAGGAAAAGAAAUCAACCGAGAUUCCGAAAGUAGCGGCGAGCGAAAUUGGACUAGCCCUUAAGCUUUACACGCGUUAGACGAACGGUCUGGAAAGUCCGACGAUACAGGGUGAUAGUCCCGUAGUUGACGACGUGUGUUCAGUGAAAUCGAGUAGGGCGGGACACGUGAUAUCCUGUCUGAAUAUGGGGGGACCAUCCUCCAAGGCUAAAUACUACUGACUGACCGAUAGUGAACCAGUACCGUGAGGGAAAGGCGAAAAGAACCCCUGUGAGGGGAGUGAAAUAGAACCUGAAACCGUGUACGUACAAGCAGUAGGAGCAGGCUUUGUCCUGUGACUGCGUACCUUUUGUAUAAUGGGUCAGCGACUUAUAUUCAGUGGCAAGGUUAACCAUCUAGGGGAGCCGUAGGGAAACCGAGUCUUAACUGGGCGUUCAGUCUCUGGAUAUAGACCCGAAACCAGGUGAUCUAGCCAUGGGCAGGUUGAAGGUUGAGUAACAUCAACUGGAGGACCGAACCGACUAAUGUUGAAAAAUUAGCGGAUGACUUGUGGCUAGGGGUGAAAGGCCAAUCAAACCUGGAGAUAGCUGGUUCUCCCCGAAAGCUAUUUAGGUAGCGCCUCGGACGAAUACUACUGGGGGUAGAGCACUGUUAAGGCUAGGGGGUCAUCCCGACUUACCAACCCUUUG